rnacentral:lncRNA from 1 species
GGCGCGCGUUUAGUUUGGCUUGGGUUUCGGGAGGGAGGAGGUCCCACUCGGGCUUCCAUGCGCAUAUAGUUGACAGGCUGUAGGUUUCUGAGAGGCCGUAUGUGUGGGUCACACGGAACCCGUUUUGGGACAUUUUGAAGAGAACGGAUGGCGGUGGGGCGGCUCCGGCGGUCAUGACGUGGACCAGGCGGGGGACAGCAAGAGUCCACGCGAAACACCAACCAUUGCAAUGAAACAUCGGCAACGUCCAUAAGUAUACAACUCCUUCAGGUAUACCCCACACGACAACAUUACUAGUAGCCGCCAGAUAAGCACCGCGGUGAUGCAACACCACCCCUUUAGGACUAGACGUCGUACCCGAGGUAUAACCCAAUGCAAUACUAUGCCACUCGUCUUGCGGCGGUUUCCAUACGA